UUCACAAAACAGCCCGUUGGCAUUAGUUCUGCUUUACGUAAGGUAAGCGCAAUGUGGGGCACUGGGACAAUUAUUUCCUUUUCCGAUGAGUAGGUGACUCUGCUGAAAUUGCUUCCCUUACUUUAUUUAUUGCCUGGAGGUGCAUAAUGAUUCCAAACCAGGUUCCUGUCAGGGCUGCCAUGGCAGGGGAAGGGCAGAGGCACGUGAGCUCAGGGUCUGCAGAGGUUUGGCUAAGCGAAGGGGGUUUGUGAAGAAAAGAAGUCCAAACGGAAGAGGAGUAAGAAACGCUUGGGGAGCGGGGCGGGUGGAGAUUCAUUUGAGUGGAAGCCCCUCAAACCGGGCAGAAACUUCUUUCUCUAACCUAGCAUUACCUUGAACUAUGCUCUAUUUAAAACAAAACAAAAUGAAAACAAAAACAAAAGAAAUCCAGAAAACAAAAAUGAAACGAAAGGAAACAGUAACAUCCCAACAAUUUUAAAUGAGCAGGCUUAAUAAUUUUAAGAUUUGAAGCCACAAGCAGGUAAAUAAACUUCACGACAAAAUGUGGCUCAUAGCAUGGAUCCCAUAGGUCAUCCAAUAUCAGAAUGUCAUUCAUCGAGACUGCGCUAAAGGUCAAGUUUCCCCUGCACUGAACUUGGCUCGGGAUUCCACCACAGAAUACACCUGCUCGCUACAGUGCUGACAUACUCAGUAACGGAGUGCGGAAGGUCACGGCGUUGCGUCAUUGUCUUAAAGUGUGCAUUAUGUCCUUAGGAGUCAUUUGCCUUACGUCGUUUUUUAACAGGCCCUGGUUGUCUCUCACUUUACUCUCUUCUUUCCUCUUUUCUCUCUUUUUUUUUUUUUUUGGCAGUGUUAUUUUGUUAAAUACAUACCUCAAAAAUUACCCAUUAAGCUGCCAGAUAGGAAGCCAUAGAAUUAAAAAAAAAAAUCAGGGACAAACACACAAAAUAAAUAGGAAUUCAAAAAUAGUUACCCCGCCCUGAGAGCAGGCUGCAGUUUCUCCAAAAGUCAAAGCGACUCACUGUGAAGUGGUAUUAUUUUUUAUACAUACACGAGUCUUUUGUUUAAGAACUCAUUUCACAGUCUAGUCCUUCAAAUUGUAAAGUUCUCUGUCCCAUGCAAUUUUUAAUAUAUAUAUGUAAAUAUAGAGAUAUGUACAUAUACAUAUACACACACACUCGUAGCUUCCUUCAUUUAUUUCCUGGGUCUUCCCAUCCUGGAACUUGUCUGGUGUCUCUUCGUAGGUCCAAGAAUGAUGGCAGGGUCUCCCGUGACUAGAAUUACUAUGGUCCAGUCAAUUGUAAAAGUUUAACACUUAGUGUCUUUGCCAAGGCGACGUCUGAUUCAGAAACUCUGAGUUCACUCAGUCUAUAGGCUAUCCUGUGUAACAGAGGAAUGCCAUUAAGGGUAAGAAAAAUAAAACAGACAU
rnacentral:lncRNA from 1 species